AAGUGAUCCGCCAGCCUUGGCCUCCAAAAGGGCUGGGAUUACAGGCACGAGCCACCUUGCCUGGCUCCAAUUUCUUGAUAAUUUGUUUCAUUACCCUAGGCAAUUGUCAGGUAGAUAGCCCUAAAUUUGUAUACCGAAGGAACAACUCUCAGGUGAAAAUCAGCAAAAUUUACUUCUCAAAGGAAAGAGAGAGAGAGAAUCUGUUGUGUUAACAGGGUGAUUAAAAAAUGGAUACCAAGUCAAACAUAAAAUUACAGAAAUCUACCACAGGAUUGUAUAAAGAGACCAAUCACACUUAGAUAGUUUUAAACGUAGUCUCUGUUUUAACUGGAUCUCUGAGCUCUGAGCACAGCCCACAUUCAAUCCUGGGUCUCCAAAAAGGAGAGAGAAAUCAUGGGACUAGGCCACAUAAUGCUUUUAUGGUGUUACUUUGUUACAAAGAUGUUGCUUGAGUGUCUAAGCACCCUUUCUUAUUCUAAACUCCCAAGAGUAGCCCCUGUAAUAAUAACUAUUUCAGUUAAAAAAAAUCAGAAAACAAAAUAUAGAAGCAAGGAGUUUAAGAUCUGAGAGGAACUUGUUUAUACUCUUAGGGUUCCAUAAGGAAAAACAGAGGUUUUGCCCCCAGAAGGAGUCUGGCAUCUUCUCUGUUUUCUUUAAGGAAUCCCAGCUCCAAUUUCUUGAUAAUUUGUCUCAUUACCAUUGUUAAAAUUAUUUCCAGUGCCUCAUGCAGCAGAGGGUGGGAAGAGAAAGGAGAGACAGGCAGAAGUAAAUAGAAAAAGCAGAAUUCAGUUGACUGAGAAGAAAAAAACUUUUUUACAAAAACACGUUCCUAGAAGACAAAAAAACAUAAAGUCCUUUUACAUACACACACACACACACACACACACACACACACACGGAUUGCGGAUACUAUCUUUUAAUUAAGCUGCCUUUUAACUGUUGAGGUCUUAAAAAAUCCUUUUAAAUAUUAUUACCAUAUUUUAGCUGGGAAAAGCUGCUGAUAUUUCAAAGGUAAAAUAAAUCUCAAACCAGAAAGGACUUGAUUCAUAACCAACCAACCCAGGCUGUCAUGCUAAAAAAAAGGGCAGAAUCUUUGCUGCUGAACUACUGCAUAGGGUGACUACCAUUGCUCCUUUAGUUUAGUUUGGCUAGCAGAAGGUGGUCUUGCCAUGUAAAUAAAGCCUCUCAGGUAAUCAAAAUGUUUCUUUUUUUACUUUUGCUGGUGUUUUUUUCUUUUCUUUUUUUUUUCAGCUACAGGAAUUUAGCCAAUUCAGAGGAAAUCUUCCCCAUAAUUAUGGAACUUUCUUACAGAUUUUACCAAGUCUGGUCAACCCAAUAAGAAAAAGACUGAAAUAACAACAACAACUUCAACAAAUAAAAAAAAACAGUUAAGCUAAAUAAACAGAUGAUUGCAGAAUUUAUGUGAUUACUGGGUACUCUAAUGGUAAGGAGAAAUUAAGACCAGCUAGUUGUUAAUCUUAACUUUUAGUCAUUAAGGAGAAUUUCCAAGACAAAACUGCAAUCCAGCUGCUUACCUAGGAAUACGGCUUAGGCUGAAAACUUCUAUCGUCUUAGAAAUGGGAAUAAACCUCACACUCACCGUCCCUGUUGGAAGCAAGCUGAAACUCCAAAAAAAAAGUUGCCUGUUGUCCAUCAUCAUGGUGAAGCGGCGUCGUUGUCUGGGAACCCAAUUGGAGACGUUGGAUAUUUUAUCAAGUCUUUGACUGGAAUGACAUUUUUUCAGAAAUAACCAGACUGCUUUGAGGAAUUAAAAUUGACUUUAAGGGCUGAGAAAAACCCCUUGGAAAAACUGGCAUGGUACCCUCUGCAUGCAAUUCCUUUACAAAGCUCCUGACCUGUGUUCUGAAGGCUGGGAAGUCCAAGAUUAAGGCGUCAACAGGUCUUGUGUCUGCUGAGGGCUGUCUCCCUGAUUUGCAGAUGUCUGCUUUCUUGCUGUGUCCUCACAUGGGAAAAAGAGAGAGAAUUUGCUGGUAUUCCUUUUUAUAAGGACACUAACCCCAUUCAUGAGGGUCCCACCCUCAUGACCUCGCCUAAACCUAUAACCUCCAAGGACUCCAUUUCCAAAUACCAGCAACCACAUGUGUGAGCUUAGAAGAGGAUCCUUCCCCAGGUGAGCCUUGAGAUGACCCUGGCCUGUGACUUGAUGGCAGCUUUUGAGAGACUGAGCCAGAGGCCUCCAGUCUCCCUCUCCCUCUCUUUCCACGGUCUCCCUCUGAU
rnacentral:lncRNA from 1 species